UGUGGUCCUCAUUCUCAUCCCAUAGAUGGUUCCUCUGACUCUAGCCUGUCAAUGACCCAACCUGGGCUGGGCGGGAGAGUCCAGAAGGCUCCAGGCAGACCCUGCCCACUGCUGGACCAGCUCCUGCUGCCCGUGGUCCAUGAUGGCAGGUCAGCAGGAAUGACGGCCUACUAGGAUGGUGGGGCCUGAGCCGCGGGCCAGAGGGAACUUGGCGCUCAAGAGCUGAAACAAGAUGUCUUCUCACAGCUCAGACCAAAUCUUCGCUGCCUUGUCCUGAUUUGCAGGAAAAUAUCAAGUCCCGUUUCUGCGUUUGGAUCCCCCUGGCUGGAGAACACCAUGUCAGCCUGAGACGGCUCCUUGCCCACAGGAGCGGCUUGUGGAGCCUGUGGGUAUGGGUGCGUGAGGAGGCUGGAGUGCAAGACCACACGUCUCAGAGCUUCUGCUCAUGUUUCCCUGGACCUGAGGGGCAGGCCUGGAGGAGAGGGCCCAGCCUGGGGGUUAGCCCAGCGAGUGAGCGAGCGAGCAAGAGAGCAACACGGAUGGUCGGGAGAGCAUAAAGUUGACUGUCUCAGUGGCUUGAGCCCUCUGGAGUGCAUUAGCCGUCACUGGUUUCUCCGUCCCACAGCUGGAAAGCUGAAGCACAAAGAGAGAGACACAGCGAGAGAGGGAACACAAGCAGAGGGAGAGGGAAAGGGAGAAGCAGGC